UACGGAGGGUGCGAGCGUUAAUCGGAAUUACUGGGCGUAAAGCGCACGCAGGCGGUUUGUUAAGCUAGAUGUGAAAGCCCCGGGCUCAACCUGGGAUGGUCAUUUAGAACUGGCAGACUAGAGUCUUGGAGAGGGGAGUGGAAUUCCAGGUGUAGCGGUGAAAUGCGUAGAUAUCUGGAGGAGCAUCAGUGGCGAAGGCGACUCCCUGGCCAAAGACUGACGCUCAUGUGCGAAAGUGUGGGUAGCGAACAGG
rnacentral:rRNA from 1 species